CCCCCAGACCCUGAUGCCGACUCACGCCCACGCCUCCUCCCCCUCCCCCCCCCCCACCUGCUCCUGGAGGCCCAGGCAGCGGAGGAAGACCCCGACGAAGAGGAUGCUGAUGAGGAGGAGGAGGAGGAGGAGGAAGAGGCUGACUUUGAACCGUCCGGCGGUCACCUCCCCCACCAUCAUCAUCCUCACCAUCACCCACGGCAACGCCGCGAGGCUCCGACGCCGCACCAACAUCAGCACCACGGCUCCCCGCACAGGAUCCAGCUGCGGGGGCUGCCGCCGACGCCAGGGGCCGGCGGCGCGGGGCUGGCGCCAGGGGCCGGCGGCGCGGGGCCGGCGGGGGUCCACAGCUGGGGGUCGGCCUCCGAGGACAACCUGUCCUCCGCCCGCUGCAGCGUGGGCAGCACGUCGGAGGGGGCCCUGUUCACGGACCUGGAGCACCUCCACCCGUCGCUGGGGGCCCCCGAGGGCCCCGGGCCCGCCGGAGGUCUGCAGCGGGCCCCCGAGGAGACAGGCCGCCGGCCGGGCAGUCCGUUAUCUACCGACGGCAACGUGAGCGCCGCCGCGACCCACAGACGACCCCGCAAACACAAACCAGCCGCCGCCGGUCACCACGGUUACCCGCCGACUGCGGCCGCGUUCUACGACGACUCCUGCCUCGCGCCCCCAGACCCCCCGGGGCCCGCGGCCCUGGGCGGGGGCAGGGCCCGGGGGGCCACCCUGCCUCGGAUGGGCUCCGGGGAGCCCAGGGGCCGCAGGGGCAGCUCAGGGGCCCAAAGGACGCCGGCGUCAGGGGAGAGAGGAGGCGACAGGGGCCGACAGCAGCCAGUGCCGCGGCGGGGGGGGUUCACCAAGGUUGACCAGAGCCGGCCUGCAAUUGCACAACAGAUGGAGGAAUGUGUUCCUUACUAUAGGGGAGGAGGAGCGGAACAACACUGCACAUGACUUAUGAUUUCAAAGCAACGUGACAUCUCUUUUAAGGGGACCGGGAAGGGGGGGGGGGGGGGACUCAGCCAUCUUGUUCUGGAGUCGAUGGACUCCUGAAGUUGAGCACUAUUUAUUGUGGGGUUGUUGAUCGACGGAUCGGAUUCCACCCACUCGUACGGCGGUUCCCUCGAUGGUCACGAUGAAUGACGUGUAUAAUUAAUGGGUGUUG
ensembl:lncRNA